rnacentral:lncRNA from 1 species
GUGGGGUGCGAGGUUGUGUGGGGGCACACGGACAGGUCCCGGUUCUGGCGGAUUUGGCCCAGGCACCCCCAGCCCCCAGCCAGCCUCCAGCAUCGCCUCCUCUGGGAUCUUCUCUGACUUCCCAGUCGGUUUCAGAAGCCUCUGAUGACCCCAUGCGGAGAAGACUGCUCCCCUCACUGCUGGCACACGGCAGAUGCUCAACACUUGCUCCAGCUUCGCCUUCCGCCGCGAGUUGAAGCUCCCCGAGGCCUCCUCAGAAGCAGAAGCCACCACGCUUCCUGUACAGCCUGUGGGACCCGGAGCCAGUUCAACCUCUUUUCUUUAUAAAUUACCCAGACUCGGCCGGGCACGGUGGCUCACGCCUGUAAUCCCAGCACUUUGUUGAGACCGAGGCAGGCAGAUCACGAGGUCAGGAGAUCGAGAACAUCCUGGCUAACACGGUGAAACCCCGUCUCUACUAAAAAUACAAAAAAUUAGCCGGGCGUGGUGGCGGGCGCCUGUGGUCCCAGCUACUCGGGAGGCUGAGGCAGGAGAAUGGUGUGAACCCGGG